rnacentral:rRNA from 1 species
UGGGGAAUAUUGGACAAUGGGCGAAAGCCUGAUCCAGCCAUGCCGCGUGUGUGAAGAAGGUCUUCGGAUUGUAAAGCACUUUAAGUUGGGAGGAAGGGCAUUAACCUAAUACGUUAGUGUUUUGACGUUACCGACAGAAUAAGCACCGGCUAACUCUGUGCCAGCAGCCGCGGUAAUACAAAGGGUGCAAGCGUUAAUCGGAAUUACUGGGCGUAAAGCGCGCGUAGGUGGUUUGUUAAGUUGGAUGUGAAAUCCCCGGGCUCAACCUGGUAACUGCAUUCAAAACUGACUGACUAGAGUAUGGUAGAGGGUGGUGGAAUUUCCUGUGUAGCGGUGAAAUGCGUAGAUAUAGGAAGGAACACCAGUGGCGAAGGCGACCACCUGGACUAAUACUGACACUGAGGUGCGAAAGCGUGGGGAGCAAACA